AGUUACUUCUUUGCUAGGUUGAGGAAAGGGUGGAAGCGCCUCCUGCAGCCACGAAUAUCCUCCAGUGCCUGAGAGAAAACGGCCUAAUCGAAAACGUCCGCGGCAUACAUCCAUUCUUAAAACUUGAGUGGCUGCUUUUCUGGGUGGAAAAGAGCGGUAUCAGACAGGGUGAGCAGUCGGGGAACGGAUGAACAAAGACUUGCACCGUGGCCCUGAUGCCUUUGUUCCGAGUUCUAUUCAGUUGUACUUGUGCGUUGUUACAGGACUUUAGAAUGCAGCCCUGCCCCCCAACCCCCACCUCCCAGGGCCGACCUGUGCUCCUAGGAAGGCAAACCUCCCAGGAAUAUAUUCUGCAUAACUAUACAAAUAGGCCUUUAUUCAAGGCUUUUGGAUUAUGACAAAGAUUACCCUCAGGAGUAGUAAGAUUCUACUAGCAGGAUAAUAGAAAGGAUUAAGGCUCCCCUCCAAAGAAAAUUUUUUUAAGUUAGAAACGGAGGCGAGCCGCAGUGGGUCAUGCCUGUAAUUUCAAUGCUUUGGAAGGCCGAGGUGGGAGGAUAGGAUAGCUUGAGGCUAGGAGUUCGAGACCAGCCUGGGCAACAUGGGGAGACCCCCCCCCAUCCCUCCAAAAAAGAAAAGAAAACUGGAAAGCCUUAAAGAAACCUUUCAAACUUUAGUGUGUAUCAGAAUUACCUGAAAGGUUUGUUAAAACAGAUUGCUGGGCCAUACCCCCAGAAUUCUCUGACUGGGCUAUCGGAAAUAAUGCCUGAGAAUGUGCAUAUCUAAUAAGUUCCUAGUUCCACUUUAGGACCCUAGAAGGUUAGUAUCUUUCCUCUCUACCAGGCUUAUCUUAGGAUGAACCGUUCGGGGUUUGCUGAUGUGAAGCUAAAACAAAAAUAUUCUUUAAAAGGAGGGAUGUCUUAUUCAGUCCAUAAGAUCAUCUAAUGUAUUAAGCUGGCUUGGGGGAUGAAUCGGGUGUUUCAUUCAUUCAUUUGACAGGUAAGCAUUGCUUACCUACUCUAUUAUGACGGGGUCUGUGCUGACUCCGAAUAUUCGGUGGGAUGCAAAAUAGUUAAGUGCUCUUGUAGAGUUUACAGAUUAGCGGAAAACAGACAAAUUGUGUUAAGAGCAAUAGAAAGAAGAGAGCGGAGGACUCUGAGAAAUGAAGGCGAGGAGUGGGAGAAUGAGAGGAAGGUGGAAGGCAGAGAAUGGCUCCAGCAGAGUCCAGAUUGAAUCAUACAUUGUAUGAUAUUCUGUGUUCCGGAGUUCGCAGAUAGAAGUAUGUGAGGGCCAGCAUCCAAAUGGAAUCAGGUAUGUGCAGAGGAGACUCACUAAAGGGCAUCAUCAUCAAUUAGUGCCCAGCAUGUCUGCAGCUAUUCACGAGAGAAGGCUUUUUUUAGAGGUUGUUUUCAGAGAAGUCAAACAACUGGUUGUCUCAGAUUCGUUGUCGUUGGUUUCUCCACUACAUUUUAGAAGAUGCUAGAUGGGGACUCUUUGCUGCCGCUUCUACUACCUGGUAAUUAAAGUCUUUUGAGGAAGCAUAUGCUUGAAGAUUGGCUCUGACAGAAAAGACAGAUGUGGUUUAGUAGGGGUAGAAUAAAUGGUUGUUUCCAGCAGUUACAAGUAGUAAGUCAGGAGUGAAGAGAUCCUACCAAAGAAGUUUCGAGAGCAGAGGUUAGUGCCCUCGGUCACUUGGGCAGCCCAUGCCGGUGGCCCUCAAGGUAGCUGCCCACACUCUGGCCUUGCACAGUUGUCAUGGAAGUAGUUAACUCAAGCAGGGUUGGAAACUAGUGCUUCGAGGUCUAGGCAGGUACUGUUAUGAGUGAAGGGGGCCAUGAGGAGGGUAUGGCAAUGUGAGAGCCCACAACCCAA
rnacentral:lncRNA from 10 species